rnacentral:rRNA from 1 species
AGAGUUUGAUCUGGCUCAGCCUGAACGCUGGCGGCGUGGCUAAGACAUGCAAGUCGUACGGGUGUAGCAAUACACCAGUGGCGGACGGGUGAGUAAUGUAUCGCUAACGUACCCCGGAUUCUGGGAUAGCUGCCCGAAAGGGCAGGUAAUACCGGAUGAUAUAUCCUUUUCGCAUGAAGAGGAUCUCAAAGGGAAACCGUUCUGGGAGCGGGCGAUAUCGUAUCAGCUAGUUGGUGAGGUAACGGCUCACCAAGGCGACGACGCGUAGCCGGACUGAGGGGUUGGCCGGCCACAUUGGGACUGAGACACUGCCCAGACUCCUACGGGGGGCUGCAGUAACGAAUCUUCCGCAAUGCACGCAAGUGUGACGGAGCGACGCCGCGUGUGGGACGAAGUCCUUCGGGAUGUAAACCACUGUCAGGGGUUAGAAAGUUCUGAUCAACCCCAGAGGAAGGCACGGCUAACUCUGUGCCAGCAGCCGCGGUAAGACAGAGGUGCCAAGCGUUAGGCGGAAUCACUGGGCUUAAAGCGUGUGUAGGUGGACUGGUAAGUACUUUGUGAAAUCCCACGGCUUAACCGUGGAACUGCUUGGUAUACUGCCGGUCUUGAGCAACCUAGGGGCGAGUGGAACAAAUGGUGGAGCGGUGAAAUGCGUAGAUAUCAUUUGGAACGCCAAUGGUGAAAACAACUCGCUGGGGGUUUGCUGACACUGAGACACGAAAGCCAGGGGAGCAAACGGGAUUAGAUACCCCGGUAGUCCUGGCCGUAAACGAUGUCCACUAGAUCGCAGUACCUCUGACGGUAUUGCGGUCGAAGCCAAAGUGCUAAGUGGACCGCCUGGGAAGUACGGUCGCAAGGCUAAAACUCAAAGGAAUGAC